rnacentral:hammerhead_ribozyme from 1 species
AUUCAGUUGACGAAUCCCAAAUAGGACGAAACGCGUGUCCUGAAU